CCAAAAAAUCCCCACAGCAAUACCAUGCAUCUGACCGUACUGCAAACCGACACAGGUAGGUGAGUCGAGAAGACUAAGGCGUUCGAGAGAACUCUCGUUAAGGAACUAGGCAAAUGAGCCCCGUAACUUCGGAAUAAGGGGCGCCCCGCAAGGGGCCGCAGCGAAGCAUCCCAGGCGACUGUUUACCAAAAACACAGGUCUCUGCUAAGACGAAAGUCGAUGUAUAGGGGCUGACGCCUGCCCAAUGCCCGUAGGUUAACAGGAGAUGUUAGGAGCAAUCCGAAGCAUUGAAUCGAAGCCCGGGUGAAUGGCGGCCGUAACUCUAACGGUCCUAAGGUAGCGAAAUUCCUUGUCGGCUAAAUACCGACCCGCAUGAAAGGCGUAACGACUUGGGAACUGUCUCAACGAGAAGCUCGGUGAAAAUGUAGCGCCCGUGAAGAUGCGGGCUAUGCGCAGUAGGACGGAAAGACCCCGUGGAGCUUUACUACACCUUGUGAUUGUGAAUUGGAUGUAGAUGUAGAGCGUAGGUGGGAGCUUCGGCACCAAUGGAACACCACCCUUCUACAUCUGGUUUACUAACUGUUGCCCUGAUCGGGUAACAAGACAAUCACUGGCGGGUAGUUUGACUGGGGCGGUCGCCUCCCAAAAUGUAACGGAGGCGUCUAAAGUUACACUCAGGCUGGUUGGAAAUCAGCCGUCGAGCAUAUUGGUAUAGAGUGUGAUUGACUGCGAGACACACAGGUCAAGCAGGUACGAAAGUAGAGCAAAGUGACCCUCUGGUUGUGCGUGGGCACGCCAGGGUUCAUCGGAUAUAAGCUACCCCGGGGAUAACAGGCUGAUCUUGCCCGAGCGCUCACAGCGACGGCAUGGUUUGGCACCUCGAUGUCGGCUCGUCUCAUCCUGGGGCUGUACACGGUCCCAAGGGUUCCGGAGUUCACGGAUUAAAGAGGCACGCGAGCUGGGUUCAGAACGGCGUGAGCCAGUUCGGUCCCUAUCCACUGUGCACGUAAGAAAUUUGAAGGGAGUCGCUCUUAGUACGAGAGGACCGGAGCGAACCGACCUCUGGUGUACCAAUUGUUCCGCCAGGAGCAUACGUUGGGUAGCCACGUCGGGCAGGGAUAAGCGCUGAAAGCAUCUAAGCGCCAAGCCCACCCUAAGAUUAGAUUUCUCAUCAAUAUGAGUAAGGCCUCUGGAAGACCACCAGAUUGAUAGGUCGCAGCUGUACGCACGGUAACGUGUUUAGGUAAGCGAUACUAAUUGGCCGAGGGCUC
rnacentral:rRNA from 1 species